GAUGAAGAACGUAGUGAAAUGCGAUAAGUAAUGUGAAUUGCAGAAUUCAGUGAAUCAUCGAAUCUUUGAACGCACAUUGCGCCCCCUGGUAUUCCGGAGGGCAUGCCUGUUCGAGCGUCAUUUCACCACUCAAGCCUCGCUUGGUAUUGGGCAACGCGGUCCGCCGCGUGCCUCAAAUCGACCGGCUGGGUCUUCUGUCCCCUAAGCGUUGUGGAAACUAUUCGCUAAAGGGUGUUCGGGAGGCUACGCCGUAAAACAACCCCAUUUCUAAGGUUGACCUCGGAUCAGGUAGGGAUACCCGCUGAACUUAAGCAUAUCAAUAAGCGGAGGA
rnacentral:misc_RNA from 1 species